rnacentral:rRNA from 1 species
CCUACGGGAGGCAGCAGUAGGGAAUAUUGCUCAAUGGGGGAAACCCUGAAGCAGCAACGCCGCGUGGAGGAUGAAGGUUUUCGGAUUGUAAACUCCUUUUGUUAGAGUAGAUAAUGACGGUAUCUAACGAAUAAGCACCGGCUAACUCCGUGCCAGCAGCCGCGGUAAUACGGAGGGUGCAAGCGUUACUCGGAAUCACUGGGCGUAAAGAGCGCGUAGGCGGGAUAGCAAGUCAGAUGUGAAAUCCUAUGGCUUAACCAUAGAACUGCAUUUGAAACUGUUAUUCUAGAGUAUGGGAGAGGUAGGUGGAAUGCUUGGUGUAGGGGUAAAAUGCGUAGAGAUCAAGAGGAAUACUCAUUGCGAAGGCGACCUGCUAGAACAUAACUGACGCUGAGGCGCGAAAGCGUGGGGAGCAAACAGGAUUAGAUACCCCUGUAGUC